GAGCAAGUCCUCUGAGCGUGGCAUCCUACAAGCUAGUGAAACUAAGCACAAAGGAAAACAAAAGGUGGCCUCAAGUUAACGCUGGACUUUCAAGGAUACUUAAAACCUGAUGCUGAACAAUUCUUGCAUCUCUGGAAUAAAUCCUACUUGAUUAUGCUGGGAUUCUGUUCUCCUGCCUUGGACUCAAACUCAGAAGUGAAUCAAAACUGCACGAGUGGCUCUCCUGAGUCUCUAGCUUGCUGACUGCAGAUCAUGGGACUUCUCAGCCUCAGUGAGUGAGCCAGCUCCCUAAAGAAGAGAGCUGUAGCCUCCAACUCUAACUGGGGAAGUGUCUGUUUCUCCUUUCAGUCUUCCAGAGUCCAGAGGAUGGGAUGACAGAAGUUUCUAUUGAAAUCCAAGUGAGUCCUGUUGGUUGUGGCCUUGCCAAUACAUACAAGAUACAAGCAAUGAAGUCCACUGCGCAAAGAAGACGAGGAACACAAAGGUAGUGAAACAAGCUAUCUGCCUGCUCUAACACAAGGACAAAAUGAAAAGCAAACAGUGGAAGGGGAACUGCCAACCUCCUGCCCUAGAAAGGAUCUCUCUUUGGUGUCCCAACACCAUAAAGAAGUUAAUAAUGCAUAAUGAGCUUGGACAUCAAUAGUUUGAGCUGCAGUGGACUGAAAUUACCCUUCUCUUUCAUGGCACCAGGAAGGCAGAGUCUGAUCAUCGGUUCAGUGAAUUCCCACGUCAAGACAGACAUAGGUGGAAGUUUUGUGAACAGUAAGCACAUGAGCACAGGGCACCGCCAAUGCACCUUUCUUCCUCUUGCUAUUCAUCUGGAAAAAUGAUAGCUUUGUAUCUGUCCUUGAAAAACCAGCAACUAAUAGCCUGGAGAAACUACCUUUGUCUUGUAAAAUGCACAAUAAAAUCUUUGCUGUUCCCACAUAAA